UUUUAAAGUUUAACAUAUAAAAACAUUAAAAUCACCCCAUUAGCUUCCACAGCCAUGGAACACAAAGCUUUGACCUUUGAACCAUAGAGGUUUUAAAAUUGAAGAAACUCGAGCGAAAUUUUCAUUCUUCCAUGGCUUCCCAUCUGAUAGCAGUUUUUUUUUUUUUUUUUUUUUUAUUCAACCUCCCAUAGCUUCCAAUCGGAUUAUUUGCAAAACGGGUUAAACCGGUUCCCAUCCAUUUUUAUUUUUAUUUUUUAUUAUUUUUUUAUGUGAUAAAUUUUUAGGAGACUUGUCAUAAAUCAUAUUGUGGAAGGUGCUACGCGAACUGCAAUUGAGGCUGCGUCUAGGAACGCGAGGUGCGACGCGAAGUUCUGACCUCAAGCUGCAAUUGAAGUUGCGUCGAGGAACGCGAGGUGCUCCGCGAAGUUCUGGCCUCGAGCUGCAAUUGAAGCUGCGUCGAGGAACGCGAGGUGCUCCGCGAAGCCUGGCCUCGAGCUGUAAUUGAAACGGCGUCGAGGAAUGCGGGGUGCUACAUGAAGUGCUGGCUUCGACCACAAAUGGAAUCGCUGGGCUAUCGACGAAACUGCCGAUAAGAGAACCGCUGGGUCAUCGACAAUCAUGGGUCUAAUUCGACAAAUUUUGUCAACAAAUAGAAGCGCUGGUCAUCGACCAAACUAGCUAUCGCCGGAGAUCGAUGGGCUUUGUCCUCGUGGGUUGUCGCCGGGCCUCGACAAAGACGAUUGUCUGAAAUCGAGGGGCUAUAUGGAAGUUAAAAUUACAGUGUCGAGAAAUCGAAAACCCCCAAGCAAUCGAUGGAGUCGACGAAAGGGGGGACCACUGGUUCAUCGACAGGCAUUGGUGUUGACAAAUAGAAGCGCUGGGUCAUCGACUAGACUGGCUAUCGCCGGAUCUCGAUGGGCUAUACCGAUGUGGGUAAGUAGGAUAAAAUCGAUGGGAAGUGUAACGUGCGAAUUCGACGGGCCUCGCCAUCGACGGGCUUCGUCAUCGGCAGAGUCGGUUGCGCAAAAUCGAUGGGUUGUGGACCGUGGAUAAUCGAAGAGUGUGAUGUUGGCAUAAAAUCGACUGGAUUUCGACAGGCUCAAUUUCGAGGACAACCGCAGAACAAGAAAGUGGCAGCGAGGAAGGCCAACGGCGAUCAACGAGAGAUGGUGGGUUGUCAUCAAUAGAGAUGUCUAAAGUAUAGAAGUCUUGUAACGCGACAACAACAAACCAGAAAGCGUGGUUGGUUCACUGAAAUCCAGAAGGGUCAUCGACAGGAUUUGGGUUAUCGACAAUUAAGUCGAGAUUUUUCAUCCAUUUUUUUUUUUUUUUUUUAGGUCCCAGUGGUUAGAUGAGAUGUACAUCCCAGUUCAUUCAUGGAUGCAGACUACCUCAGGGUACGAAGACACUUGCAGUGAGCAAGGUACUCCAACAAUGAUUACUUGGAGCUAUGUUGACAAGGAAGUCGCUGUGGAGGGAUCAUGGGAUAAUUGGAAGACAAGAAAGCUGUAGCCCCAAAAUGGAAAGUUUGUCGACUGUGUUGGGUCAUUGAUAGGGAGUGAUUAGUUGAAAUCUAUGGGUGUUCGCGUUUGGCAAAACAGUAUCUUGAAAUCGAGGGGUUUUGUCGAUAAAAAAAAAAAAAAGGAGCGAGAAAAAAUCGACGCCCGCCGCCGGAGGUCGACAGGAUCGUAGAGGGAGGUUUGAAAUUACCGGUCCAUCUGUCUCGUUUUUCCAGAGAGAGGUUUGAUUGCCUUUCCGUGCAGACUAUGUAAUGCAAGAAAGGCAAGCCAACCAAAGCAUAUAGCGCCUUUGAUGAGUUUCUGGGACGACAGUAUUGUCUCUGAACUUGGUUUCUAUUAGCAGACAUGUACCAAGUAUGGAAGGAAGAUUGUCCAACAACACAAGAAUGAGCUUUGGUUGUGGGUAUCAACGGGUUUCGUCAUCAAUGGCCACGUAGCCUAAAAUCAAAGGGCCUCGCUGCUUGUAUGAAAAAUAUAUAUGUACUAUAUAUUUAAAAUAAAUGUAUACGCUUUAGUUAUCCCAAAGCAUGCGGAUGGUUGAUGGUCUACCCAGUGUGUCAAAAGACAGAUAAAUGGUGUCUAGAUUGGUAUUGGAAUAUGAAAAAAAAAGAA